UUAUGUGUAGCUCAGUGGUAGAGCACUUACUUACUAUGUGUGAUGCCCUGGGUUCAGAUCUCAGCACUAGAA
rnacentral:tRNA from 1 species